UACAGAGGUCCCAAGCGUUGUUCGGAUUCAUUGGGCGUAAAGGGUGCGUAGGUGGCGGGGUAAGUUGGAUGUGAAAUCUCGGGGCUCAACCCCGAAACUGCAUUCAAUACUGCUCUGCUCGAGUACUGGAGAGGAGAUCGGAAUUUACGGUGUAGCGGUGAAAUGCGUAGAUAUCGUAAGGAAGACCAGUGGCGAAGGCGGGUCUCUGGACAGUUCCUGACGCUGAGGCACGAAGGUCAGGGGAGCAAACGGG
rnacentral:rRNA from 1 species